UACAGAGGUCCCGAGCGUUGUUCGGAUUCACUGGGCGUAAAGGGUGCGCAGGUGGGCUGGUAAGUUCGAUGUGAAAGCCCCGGGCUUAACCCGGGAAUGGCAUUGGAUACUACUGGUCUGGAGGAUUGGAGGGGGACUGGAAUUCUUGGUGUAGCAGUGAAAUGCGUAGAUAUCAAGAGGAACACCAGUGGCGAAGGCGAGUCCCUGGACAAUACCUGACACUGAGGCACGAAAGCCAAGGGAGCAAACAGG
rnacentral:rRNA from 1 species